rnacentral:rRNA from 1 species
UACAGAGGUCCCGAGCGUUGUUCGGAUUUAUUGGGCGUAAAGGGUGCGUAGGCGGCGGAGUAAGGUGGGUGUGAAAUCCCGGGGCUCAACCUCGGAAUGGCAUUCAAUACUGCUUCGCUAGAGUACUGGAGAGGAGGCUGGAAUUUACGGUGUAGCAGUGAAAUGCGUAGAUAUCGUAAGGAAGGCCGGUGGCGAAAGCGAGCCUCUGGACAGUUACUGACGCUGAUGCACGAAGGCCAGGGGAGCAAACGGG